GGUGCAAAUGGAAUUAGGGUUUCAACCCCAAAAACCUAUUCUUCUCCGUUGGCUCGGUCAUCGAAACGAAACAUGGGGUUCUUUCCAACCCUUUGACGUAGCAUCAAGGUCUGGUCGAUCUAUGCUAGCUGCUGAUUUUCGCUCUUUCACGAAGAACAACGAGUACAAUGAUGGAUCUCCGUUGAAUUCCCUAUGAAAAAAUCGGUUGUGGUUAUAACCCGCAUGAGCCUGUUCUCUCUAACUGUGCUAGAGAACAGCAUAUCAACAAUGAAAAGAAUAUUGCUCCUUCUGUCCCCAACAAACCUCUUUUUAACAUCACUCGUGAGGUUAAAAAUAUCAACCCCAAAUAAGCCUUUGUACCCAAUUCUUAAACAUGGAUUAGUUUCUGUCAAAUGGUUGAAUCAUCUUCUGUUUG